rnacentral:lncRNA from 1 species
UUGUGGAAGAUUUAAUUAUUUCUGAGUUGCGAGAGAGGUUUCCUUCACACAGGUUCAUUGCAGAAGAGGCCGCGGCUUCUGGGGCCAAGUGUGUGCUCACCCACAGCCCGACGUGGAUCAUCGACCCCAUCGACGGCACCUGCAAUUUUGUGCACAGGUGAGCUGAGCAGGGAUCGCCUCCAUUGCAGGGCUUAACAUGUCCUCUUCUGUGAGGUUUUGUCUUUUCAAAAGCAGCAUUUUUUAAGGCAGGAAUAUAUAAACAAACCUAUAGUACACUCAUAGUCUCAUCAGAAAGAUGAUCAGAUCUUGAUAUUUUUAAAAUAAGGUUUUCCGUUUGUGAGAGGCUCUUGGAGUAUGUUAGGAAAUCUGCACUUGUUUAAAAACCAGUUUG